CUGAACAGGAGACACAUUUUCAUGCCAUGACACCUUGACUUCCAAAACACAUGUUGUAACUUUUACCUAGACCCUCUGCUUCCCCAUGCCCACUAACCACAAAUGUUCUGCAGUCACCCUAGGUCUCUGAGCACAGCUGAAAUCUUGAGAAACCCCUUGGGCUGGGAGCCGUGGGUGGGGCUGCCAGCAAUGGCUGCUCUCUGGUUGGUUCCCCUUGCCUGACUCCUCUCAGAAGAGCCUUUUCCACUUCACAGUUCUCUGCUAGCCACACCUGUGCUGCUUGCCCUCUGACCCCUCCCAAUCCAACCCAGCUGUUUCCCCUCAGUCUCCUCCCCACGUUCUGCAACCUGAUCCUGAAGCUUCCUCUACCUACCAGGAGACUGACUUGGUAUCUUCUACGAGGCCUGGGCGGUGUCUGCCACUGAGCCCCGGCCUCCCUCAGAAACUCAACAGCUACACGCCUCCUAUGCUAUUUCCUGGCUCUCCACCCCCAAAAUGCACUGACAGUGACCAGAUGAAUGCUUUAGUGACCAGUCACUGGCAUGGUUUCAAGUUACCACCUGCUGUUGUGUUCAGAACCUGUUUGUCCAGAUUUCUCACACUAACAUAGGUGAAAUAACAUGAAAAAAGAAAUGUGAGUAGACUAAUAUAUUGCCUCUUGUAGCUUUAUGUUCUCACCAACAAGGCACUACCAGAGGGCCACCCUGACAGUAAUACUGAGCCUGUGGGUAAGACCUGGCUCUGAGGACUGGGGCAUUCUAAUCCUGGCCUGACCAGUGACUCACUUUGUGACAUGGGACUGUUGAUUUUCCUGUGCAAGUUUCAGAAUUGUAAGAUGGGGACCAGAGCAUCUGCGAGGAUGAUGUCUCCCACCCCAAGUGACCCAGAGGAAAAAGUUGCUGCAUAACUACAGAAUGGAAAGGACUUGCCUCCACACUGAAUGUCACAGCUUAAAAAAGAACUCAGGACUUCCUGCCUCAUGGUCUAGUGCCCUGGCCAGAUGUUUGGUGAGAGAGGAAGUGGAAGGAACUGGCUCCAAGAAACUAUCUGCUCUUGCAAGUGGCCGAUUGGCCUGGCAUCAAGGGACUUUCCCGGCCACUUUGUGAAGCUGGGUUCUUGCUGGCUCCAUGGCUGUCUCUUCCGCUUUGCUUCCUGAUGUUCAGACUGUUGGCUUUGGUGUGUCUGAUCCCGCUGUUCGCUCUGCCCUUUGACUGUUUUCCACUUCUGCGGCGGUGAUCCAGGUAGUUUUUCUCCACUCCUGCUGAUUCCUGCAGUUUCUAGAACAUACUUUAGAAACAGCACUCUAAGAAUGGGGUGAAAAGCCCUAUUUAUUUUUUAACAAGAACAUAUUUUUUUCUUUCUCUUAAAAAUAAAAACACUCUUUAUCUUCCUCUGAUUUCUACAAGUCUCAUUGUUCAUUUUCUCUAAUACCAAUUUACUCCUUUCCCCCUUGUUCCCCUCACCAUGAGUUGUUUUUUUGUCUGGUGACAGCUUUACUGAGCUAUAACUCACAUACCAUACAGUUCAGAAGGGUGCAACUCAGUGGUUUUUAGCAUAUGUACAGAAUUGUGUAUCUGUCUCCACAAUCGAUUUGCUAUCAUUUUCCUCACCCCCAAAAGGAAUCCUGCACCUCUUAGUCACUCCCAAUCCCUCCUCUCCAGCCCCUGGCAACCACUAUUCUAUUUUCUGUCUUUGUAGAUUUGCCUACUCUGGACAUUUUAGAUAAAUGUAUUCAUAUAGUAUUUGAUCUCUUGUGAGAAGUUUCUUUCACUUAGCCCAGUGUUGUCAAGGCUCAUCCACGUAGAAUGUGUCAGUUCUUGGUUCCUUUUUAUUGCCAAUACCCAGAGCUUUCGUGUGUCCACAUGGGACAGAUUGCGGUCAGGGUAAGUGUUGGCGGCCAUGAACAGGAAGAUAAAUCACAUGGAAAAGAAUGCAGAAUAAUAGAUGAUUGACAUAUGGUGUGAGCCUUUGCCAAAAAUAAUGCUGAAAUCAUAUUGAGGAGCAUUAAAUACAUUUGCAGGUAAUAUGACAAAAACUCCAGAAUUCAGAAAGGAACCAGUCCACAAAAUAUACAUUCUCUCCAUGCAAAUCUAAUGUUCCCAAACACUCACCUAUUGUCCCUUUCUCCCUUCUUCCCUCUGGUCUUUCUAUGGAAAGGAGCAGCAUGAGGAUGUACUCACACCUGUGUAUUUCAGUUCCAGUCUUGGUCAACAAAGAGGGAAAGCAUUUCAUUAUUGGGACUUUGAAAAGGCCCACAUAGCAAAGCAUUAGGCAACAGUUAUAUUGAGUAGGUUUUUUUAAAAUAAAAAAGAGCCCUGCCAGGUAGCUCAGUCCAGGUAGCUCAGCUGGUUAGAGCAUUGUCCAGAUACACUAAGGUUACAGUUUCGAUCCCUGGUCAGGUCACAUACAAGAAGGAACCACUGAAUGCAUAAGUAAGUGCAACAACAAAUCAGUGUUUCUCUCUCCUUCCCUCUCUUCUUCCCUCCUUCUCUCUCCCUCUUUCCCUUCCUGUCUCUCUAAAAUCAAUAAAUUAACAAAAACAAUAAUCAUAACAAUAUGUUCUCAGUCAGUAGGAGGUGAUAAAGGCCCAAGAUAUUGAUACGAGACAGUUUCCAGACUAAGUAGAAUUGAAGCCCGUUGCCAUAACAAGAAAGAGAGUUAACAGGCGCAGGAGCUGGGAGCAGAUAUCGGCAGAUAUGUGUGGUGAGACAAUCAAGGAAAUGGGGUCUUGAUUUCCCUUUAUUCUGGCGGAGGUCAGAAACCUUCCCCAGGGUCUCCAUUGUGACAAUCAGAUUGUAAACUGCGUUUUAAUAUUGCAGCAGAAACAGCCGACCAUGAUUACUGUCCAGAUCGCAAGUCACCAGCAUUAAUGUGAACUGUACGCUACGUGAGGAAUACAUGAGCAGGGUGGGAAAGUUCCCCUCAUGCAAAAAUAUCUCAAGAAUUAUAUUAAUAGCUAUAAAAUCCAUUAAAUAUAAUUACCUUGAUUAAUGUGGCUUCAAAACAUUAAUAAUAAAGAGGGAAAAGUCAUUUAAAAGCUCUGGGGUGGCUGACAUUAGGAUAUUUUGGGACCGGAAAGAGAGAGAGAGUCAGAGUGUGACUUACCGUGACCCACUGUCAGGUGACGGGCUGCUGUGAAUUCUGAAAUUCUGAGGCUCACACUCAGCCUGAGAGCUCUCACCUGUGUGUCAUGUUCUCCGAAGGUCCUGAGUGACAUUGCUUGUGCCCCUGGAGUUUUAUGGAGUUCAUGGGGACAAUUUUUUUUAAUUUACAGUCUUUGUAACUCCAGGACCCAGACAUGCAUUCAUAGGGCUGGGAGGAAGAGAUUAUGCUAAUGACUGCCAGACUGCAUUCAGAGUUCGUUCUUGAUUCAGAUAUGGAAUGAGCAGGUAUUACUAUUGAUGAGGUUAAGCUGGGUGCCGGGGACAAAACCAUGAAUAAAAUCAUCAUGGUCCCGGUGAGGGACUGAAUGCACCCCCAACCCCAUUUAUAUGUUUGAGUCCUAACCUUCAAUACGGUGCUUGGAGGUGGGGCCUCUGAGAGAUGAAUCUUGAAGGCAGACCCUUCAUGAAUGGGAUUAGUGUCCUUGUAGAAAAGACCCCAAGGAGCUCCCUCACCCCUUCUCGUGAGGUCACAGCAGGAGGACAAAUGUCUAUGAACCUGGAAGCAGGUCCUUCCUAGACACUGAAUCUGCCUCCAAGCUUGAUCCUGGACUUCUAGUCUCCAGAACUGUGAAAAAUAAAUGUUUAUUGUUUAUAAGCCACCCUGCCUAUAGCAGCCUGAACUAAGGCCUGUUUGCAGAGCUUUUAGUGCCUGGAGAAAUGGGCAUUAACUAUGUAUUUGGUUGUGGUUGCAGGAAGUGCUACGGAGACUGUUCAGGGGUUUGAGAGUGCUUAAGGGGACCUUGCCUGAGGGGAAACUUGCUCUAGCACUCUGAUAAGCCAGACAGAGUUUCUGGGUCAAGCCCAUGGAGUCCGUGUCUUUCCUCCUUUAAAAUGAAUUCUCCGCCCUCUUACACAUAAACUCUGGCAGGCCACCCCACCAUUUCUUCAGAGCUUGCCUAAAUAUAUCCCAUCAUAGGCAGCAGUCAUAGUCUGAACUCAAGCCAAGAUCCCUAUCGUGUGUGACAGGAAUUUUUACUGUUUUCUCUCUUUUUAAAAUUGUGGUGAAAAAAAUACAUAACAAAAUCUAGUAUCUUAACCAAUUUAUGUGCGUAGUUCAGAGGCGUUAAGUCCACUCAUACUGUUGUGUGAUUAUCACUGCCAUCCAGCCCCACAACUUUCUCAUCGUUCCAGAUGGAACUCUGCUCAUCACACUAAACUCCACAUUCCCCCUUCCGAGCCCCCGGCACCCAACGUUCUAUUUCUAUCUAUAAGUUUGACUACCCUGGGAUACCUCAUACGAGGGGACUCAUACCGUGUUGUCCUUCUGUGACUGGCUUGAAUCACUUAUCAUAAUAUCCUCAAGUUCUAUCUGUGUUAUAGCAUGAGUCAGAAAUUUGUGUGUAUA